rnacentral:lncRNA from 1 species
GCAAAAUAAAACUACAAUACAUAUAUUACAACUCUAAAUAUCAGCAUAACAAUGUUAAAUAUGCAUUGCAAUAUAUAUAUAAAAAUAUAAUAUAUAAAAAUAUAAACAAGUCUAAAUUGAAAACAACGUUCAUGAUUGCGUUGGAUAAAAACCGCAUUUUUUUACUUAAUUUGGGAACAAUUGAUUGACCAAUAAGAAUAUAUAUAAAUUAUAUAUCAAUUAAACAAAACUUGCAGCAAUUUGUAACACCCCCCCCCCUAAACUAUUUGAAUUAAGUUUUGUAUCCUUCAUUGAUUUUUUUAUGUCGUCCCUUUAUUGUAUGUAAAAAAUAAAAAUCUGUUUAAAAUGUUUUUUUUUUUAAUAUGUUAACUAACUGAUAAUUGUAUAUAGUGGUGGUUCCAGAAACAUUCAUAAGUGGGGCCAACUGAACGCUUAAGAGGGGACCUAUUCAAGUAAAUUAUUCUUCAGUGAUUCUCUAAAUAACAAUUUUUUUUCCAACGAAAGGGUGGCCCAGAAUUCUUGCCCCACCCCUAAAUCACCUCUUGUAUGUCUUUCUGUCUGUCUGCCUCUCAACAAAAAGAGCAAUCAAAGUACUAAAGUACUGAACAUCGGAAGAUCUUAGGGAUGGCCAAAAGCACUUGUCACCGAGAAAAAAAAUCACACCAGUCCUCUUUACCUGAAACUGAGGUUAAUAAUGUACAGAGAUUAUUUUUUGCUACGACAAGUUCGUGCGUGGAUGAUGAAUAAAUAACGGCAAAUUUAAUCUGGUCCAAUCUAUGCAUAAAAACCUUUCAAUUUGAAAGAAAUUGAACACCAGUCUUCACCAAGUCAUCAAUAAUCUCUUCAGAUAUUCGAAGUACUGACAUAAAAAUGCGGAUAUUGAUUGUAUGUAUAUUCGAUGUUUUAUAAUUCAAAUAAAGGAUGCACUGAAAUCUGAUUCCUUGUCUUGGUUUAGCUUUCUUUCUUUGUUCAUUUUGGUUUUGGAUUUUUCAAAUGUUUUGGCCUCGAGCAUGCUUUGACCUGACAGACUUAAGCCGUUGAAAUUCAAAUCUGGACGCAUCGUUAAUGUUUAUCCGUUUCAUUCACUCGGAUCCGUGUCCUCUUUCUAUACUUUGUUAGAUAAGUAGUUAGAUCUUUAAAAACGAGGCGGAAAAGGAUAUUCAAACUCGUUGGUCGAAGUCACACUAACAAGGCAAAAACCGAAAAAUGACGAAAAGGCUAACAAGUGAGUGACGAAAAUUUUAAACAUACACUUUCAUAUUAUCGUUAACUAUUUCCUGUAAGAUGUACUUCCAGAUCUACGGUCGAAUAAGAUCAUUGUGUUGUAAGAAUAUAAGCAUGAAUUGCCUGACAGCAUAAUUAGUUCCUAAUCAUGAUAUUGUAAUCUCAAUCUGUGGUUAGCAUGCCAUCUUGUAGAAGUUAUACUAUUGUGCAUAGCUCGUCUGGCCUUAGCUCUUGUAUGGGUUUGUUGACCAUUGGACUCACAAAAAUCUGCAAAAACAUUAAAUACAUCACCGUCUAACUACAAACUCUGGUCAAAAAUGUACAUUUUUUUUUAUAGCAACUGAAAAUUAUUGGGUUUCUG